AUGCAGUUUAUGUUGCUUUUUAGUCGUCAGGGAAAGCUUCGACUGCAGAAAUGGUAUGUCCCACUAUCAGACAAAGAGAAGAAAAAGAUCACAAGAGAACUUGUUCAAACCGUCUUAGCACGGAAACCUAAAAUGUGCAGCUUUCUUGAGUGGCGAGAUCUGAAGAUUGUUUACAAAAGAUAUGCUAGUCUGUAUUUCUGCUGUGCUAUUGAGGAUCAGGACAAUGAACUAAUUACCCUGGAAAUAAUUCAUCGUUAUGUGGAAUUACUUGACAAGUAUUUUGGCAGUGUGUGUGAACUUGAUAUCAUCUUUAAUUUUGAGAAAGCUUAUUUUAUUUUGGAUGAGUUUCUUUUGGGAGGGGAAGUUCAGGAAACAUCCAAGAAAAAUGUCCUUAAAGCAAUUGAGCAGGCUGAUCUACUGCAGGAGCCACGUCAUGAAUAUUUUAAUGUCCCUGUGUACUAAAUGACUACUCAUCGUGUAUGCAGAAUUUCACAGAGGAAAUAGAGAGCUGAUAUACUUAUGAAAGAAAAUAUCCUCAGCUUGGUGACUGAUUAUCUU